rnacentral:rRNA from 1 species
UACGAAGGGGGCUAGCGUUGUUCGGAAUUACUGGGCGUAAAGCGUGCGCAGGCGGCUGCUCAAGUCAGGGGUGAAAGCCCAGAGCUCAACUCCGGAAUUGCCUUUAAGACUGCAUCGCUAGAAUUGUGGAGAGGUAAGUGGAAUUCCGAGUGUAGAGGUGAAAUUCGUAGAUAUUCGGAAGAACACCAGUGGCGAAGGCGACUUACUGGACACAUAUUGACGCUGAGGUGCGAAAGCGUGGGGAGCAAACAGG